rnacentral:lncRNA from 1 species
UAUUCUUAUAGCCUGCCUUCAAUUUUGAUCCUUUCUUUCUAUUUGUCAGGUGCACAGGAUUACCUUUUUUAGCCUCUGUCUUGUCACCAACCAUUCCUACUUGGUGGCCAUGUACUGGGGGAAAAGGCCGCAUGAUCUUUCUGGCUCCACUCAAUGUCUAAGGACACCCUGCUUCCUCUGCUUGCAUCCCACAGACUAUUUCCCUCUUCCUAUUCACUGCAGUGAAUCUCUCCUGAGUUGAUGAGAUUGUGUUACCUCCCUAUACACCCUACCUAUCCUGAAUGGUCUGUCAUUGUCUUUGCCUUUAAAUUCCUCCCCUUCCUCUCUUUAAAUAAUGAUGGGGCUAAGUAAUACCCAAAGCUCACCCUACUCCUCAGUACCUUGCAGAAAACACCAAACAAAAAUAACCAUUUUAAAAGAGGUGUAUUUUUUUUUUCUUCUAGAAUGUAAGCUCCUCAAGAGCAGGGACAAUGUUUUCUGUAUGUUCUAUUGUGCCUAGUACACUGUAAAUGCUCAAUAAAUACUGAUGAUGGGAGGCAGUGAGUCUUGAUGAUAAGGGUGAGAAACUGAAAUCCCAAAUACUGUUUUGUUGUUUGUUUUAUUAUGACCUCAG